UCCCACUUAACGUAGGCAGUCUGCUGUGAAAAACAACACAGCACGAGGGUUGCGCUCGUUUCCGGACUUAACCGUACAUCUCACGACACGAGCUGACGACAACCAUGCAGCACCUGUACUAGAUUCCCAUUAAAGGGUCGUCGACGUUUCUGCCGACUACAUCUAGCAUGUCAAGCCCUGGUAAGGUUCCUCGCUUACCGUCGAAUUAAACCACAUGCUCCACCGCUUGUGCGGGUCCCCGUCAAUUCCUUUGAGUUUUAGCCUUGCGGCCGUACUUCCCAGGCGGGAUACUUAAGGUGUUAACUUAGGUAGACGACACUGGAAGGGUCGAUACUUCCAAUGUCCAGUAUCCAUCGUUUAGGGCGUAGACUAC
rnacentral:misc_RNA from 1 species